UACAGAGGUCUCAAGCGUUGUUCGGAUUCAUUGGGCGUAAAGGGUGUGUAGGUGGCGCGCUAAGUCGGGUGUGAAAUUUCGGAGCUUAACUCCGAAACUGCAUUCGAUACUGGCGUGCUUGAGGACUGGAGAGGAGACUGGAAUUUACGGUGUAGCAGUGAAAUGCGUAGAUAUCGUAAGGAAGACCAGUGGCGAAGGCGGGUCUCUGGACAGUUCCUGACAUUGAGGCACGAAGGCCAGGGGAGCAAACGGG
rnacentral:rRNA from 1 species